AACCUAGCACACCUGCGGUGUGUACCUGCGGAGGGAUCAUUACAAGAGUGUUUUACCCCCUAUAAAAUGGUGGGUUUAACCUCCCGUCCUUUGCUAGACCCCCCCCGUUUUAGGGGGGCCUUUCAAACUUUUCUGCUUCGGCGGGAUUAUUCCCGCCGGAACACCCUCAAAAAUUCUUGGUUAAAACUGUUCAGUCCGAGAAUUACCCAAUAAAAAAAAAACUUUUAGCAAUGGAUCUCA
rnacentral:misc_RNA from 1 species